ACACUAUACCUGGCAGGGGAGAUAAGAUUGUCACAAAGGUGGUUUUCCCAGGGUGAGGCUUAUCCAUUGCACUCAGGUUGUGCUGACCCCUGCGAUUUCCCCAAAUGUGGGAAACUUGACUGCAUGAUUUGUGGUAGUGGGGGACUGUGUUGACAUUCCCUCCCC
rnacentral:snRNA from 1 species